rnacentral:rRNA from 1 species
ACCCGCUGAACUUAAGCAUAUCAAUAAGCGGAGGAAAAGAAACCAACAGGGAUUGCCUCAGUAACGGCGAGUGAAGCGGCAACAGCUCAAAUUUGAAAUCUGGCCUCACGGUCCGAGUUGUAAUUUGUAGAGGAUGUUUCGAGUGUGGUCCGGUCUAAGUUCCUUGGAACAGGACGUCAUAGAGGGUGAGAAUCCCGUAUGCGACUGGGUGCCUAAUCUCAUGUGAAACUCCUUCGACGAGUCGAGUUGUUUGGGAAUGCAGCUCAAAAUGGGUGGUAAAUUUCAUCUAAAGCUAAAUACUGGCCAGAGACCGAUAGCGCACAAGUAGAGUGAUCGAAAGAUGAAAAGCACUUUGGAAAGAGAGUUAAACAGUACGUGAAAUUGUUGAAAGGGAAGCGCUUGCAACCAGACUUGCACGCAGUCGAUCAUCCGAUGUUUUCACCGGUGCACUCGAUUGUGUUCAGGCCAGCAUCGGUUUUGGUGGUGGGAUAAAGGCCUUGGGAAUGUAGCUUCUUUCGGGGAGUGUUAUAGCCCUCGGUGCAAUGCCGCCUACUGGGACCGAGGACCGCGCUUCGGCUAGGAUGCUGGCGUAAUGGUUGUAAGCGACCCGUCUUGAAACACGG